CCCGUUUUGUGUCCCAGUACUGGUGUGAUAGUUUGUGUAGUUCCCGGGAACGCCAUUAGCGAAACUUGUGAAAACAGUUCGCACUAUCGUUUGCCUCGUAGGCUGGGCCUUAUCCGGAGACUGGCUUGGCGGAGGGAAUCAUGCUAGGUUUUGGCUGCGGGUUGCACUAUCACCCGAUUAGUUCAAGCACACUGAAGUGAAAUCACUUGAGACAUCUCGUCUGAACAUGCGAGGGUGGGCUAAUGGUUACUGACAUUCUCACAGAGCCGUUAGAACUCGCUCUGGGUGGGAAUCAGUACCGGGAUGUGAACCCAGAACCUGCCAGCCUUCAAGACGAUGAU